rnacentral:lncRNA from 7 species
ACUUCACAGCUUGGCUUUCUCAACCAGACCAACUCUUCUUUUGGAGAUAACGGAAAAAUGAGUGGAUCAACCAAAGUUUAUUUUAAUAUGUCUUCAGGAUUUUUAAACUUCCAUGAAAGUAACUUCUGAAUUGAAAGUGAAAUUUAAGCUGUAAACAGGAACAAUUUAUACUCCGGAGAGGACAGCAUCUCGGAAGGUGUGGAAAGCUUGACAAGGGUGCUUUUUCUGGAAGACAGUGUAUUUGAUGAAGUCAAAGGGAGUCUCAAGGGGAAGACUAUGAAGAAAGAGACAGAAGUAAGUGAACUUGCACAGGAAGAGCCUACGCUACAUACAGAAAAUACUGGAAACUUCCACUGCAAAAACACAAUCUACCUCUCACAACAGGGCAUUAUAUAAAGCCAAACACAGGAACAGAAAGGUGUUUUACUGCUGCAAACUUUUCUGUGAUAACUGCUGUUUUCAAAUGCCUGAAUUCUGCCAGCUGACCCAAUGGCUGCUGAAGUGAGAAAGGACAGUCCAGGGUGCUGGAUCCUUUGGUCCUUACGGAUUUCAUGGGACGGUGCAGGAAAUAAUAGAACUCUGAAAUAGAAGAGAAGGAAAAGAAAGAGGAGAAGGAAGACAGGACAAAAAAAAGCACUAAUACCAUAUGAGAAUUUAAAGCCUAGUUGUUCUUCAUACUUUUCACCCAAGAGCAACAGAAGUGGAAAAAUAAGAGCAGGAGUUGGGUCUAAAACACUUUAUUUUUUAGGAAGAGAAUGGAGAAAUGU